rnacentral:rRNA from 1 species
UACGGGGGGGGCAAGCGUUGUUCGGAAUUACUGGGCGUAAAGGGCUCGUAGGUGGCCAACUAAGUCAGACGUGAAAUCCCUCGGCUUAACCGGGGAACUGCGUCUGAUACUGGAUGGCUUGAGUUUGGGAGAGGGAUGCGGAAUUCCAGGUGUAGCGGUGAAAUGCGUAGAUAUCAAGAGGAACACCUGAGGUGAAGACGGGUUGCUGGGCUGACACUGACGCUGAGGCGCGAAAGCCAGGGGAGCAAACGGG